GCUGAUAUAGCUCAGUUGGUAGAGCGCAUCCUUGGUAAGGAUGAGGUCACCAGUUCAAAUCUGGUUAUCAGCU
rnacentral:tRNA from 1 species